UACGUAGGGUGCGAGCGUUAAUCGGAAUUACUGGGCGUAAAGCGUGCGCAGGCGGUUUUUUAAGUCAGAUGUGGAAUCCCCGGGCUUAACCUGGGAACUGCGUUUGAAACUACAAGGCUAGAGUGUGGCAGAGGGGGGUGGAAUUCCACGUGUAGCAGUGAAAUGCGUAGAGAUGUGGAGGAACACCGAUGGCGAAGGCAGCCCCCUGGGUUAACACUGACGCUCAGGCACGAAAGCGUGGGGAGCAAACAGG
rnacentral:rRNA from 1 species